GACAGAGGUGCCGAGCGUUAGGCGGAAUCACUGGGCUUAAAGCGUGUGUAGGCGGAUCGUUAAGUGUCUUGUGAAAUCCCACGGCUCACCCGUGGAACGGCUGGGCAUACUGGCGAUCUUGGGCCAACUAGGGGCAGUCGGAACAAGCGGUGGAGCGGUGAAAUGCGUAGAUAUCGCUUGGAACGCCGAAGGUGAAAACAGACUGCUGGGGUUGCGCCGACGCUGAGACACGAAAGCCAGGGGAGCAAACGGG
rnacentral:rRNA from 1 species